GAGCGGAAGCGUGGGACGACAGAUAGAUACCUGGUAGUCACGCGUAACGAUGUAUAUAGUCGCGGAGGUCUGACACCGUCGCGGUCGUAGCAAAAGUGUUAAGUAUACGCCUGGGGAGUACGGUCGCAAGGCUAAACUCAAAGGAAUUGACGGGGGCUCACACAAGCGGUGGAGCAUGUGGAUUAAUUCGAAGCAACGCGCAGAACCUUACCUGGGUUGACAUGUAUGGAUGCCUAUCUGGAAACAGAGUCGGCUGCCCUCGGGUGAAACUUACACAGGUGCUGCAUGGCUGUCGUCAGCUCGUGUCGUGAGAUGUCGGGUUAAGUCCUUUAACGAGCGAAACCCUUACCGUUAGUUGCCAGCGCGUCAUGGCGGGGACUCUAGCGGGACUGCCGGUGUUAAACCGGAGGAAGGCGGGGAUGACGUCAAGUCCUCAUGGCCUUUAUGCCCAGGGCUUCACACGUGCUACAAUGGCAGGUACAAAGCGACGCGAUACCGCGAGGUGGAGCAAAUCGCAAAAAACCUGCCCCAGUUCAGAUUGCAGGCUGACAACUCGCCUGCAUGAAGUUGGAAUCGCUAGUAAUCGCGUAUCAGCGAUGACGCGGUGAAUGUGUUCCUGAGCCUUGUACGCACCGCCCGUCAAAUCACGGGAGUUGGGAGUACCCGAAGUCGGAUUGCUAACUCGUAAGAGAGGCGUCUGCCGACGGUAAGUCCGAUGACUGGGAUUAAGUCGUAACAAGGUAACC
rnacentral:rRNA from 1 species